UACGGAGGAUGCGAGCGUUAUCCGGAUUUAUUGGGUUUAAAGGGUGCGUAGGUGGAUUGGUAAGUCAGUGGUGAAAGUUUGCAGCUUAACUGUAAAAUUGCCGUUGAAACUGCCGGUCUUGAGUGCAAAUGAGGUAGGCGGAAUGCGUCGUGUAGCGGUGAAAUGCUUAGAUAUGACGCAGAACUCCGAUUGCGAAGGCAGCUUACUGGGAUGCAACUGACGCUGAGGCACGAAAGCGUGGGGAGCAAACAGGAUUAGAUA
rnacentral:rRNA from 1 species